GUCUGCCAAGCUGAAAUGUUCCAGGCAUUCUGUAAAUGCUCUUAAGACUAAACCAAGGUGGUACUCCUGAUGACACAGCACAGAAGCAGUAGUUACAGCUGGAAGAUGUGGCUACAGCUUUCUGAGGCACAUUCCCUUAACCACUCACUGCCAUAUUUCUGCAUUGCUGCUACUGCAUUAAAGUGCAAGCUACAAAUGCUUAUAGAAAUAAGUUAGGAUGGUUUUGUUUCUGACACAUCUAAACAUACAUUUAUUUAUUUGUUUGUUUGUUUAUUAUGUAUAUAUACAUCAUACAGCUUUCUGCCUGCGUGUAUGUGCCUGCAGGCCAGAAGAGGGCACCAGACCUGAUUAUAGAUGGUUGUGAGCCACCAUGUGGUUGUUGGGAAUUGAACUCAGGACCUCUGGAAGAACAGUCAGUGCUCUUAAUCACUGAGCCAUCUCUCCAGCCCGUUUCUGACCCAUCUAAUGAAACGUUUUUCACUACCCAAACUCACACAGGCCUUGCCUUUGUGGGUUGCCUAAAAGGCCCUUUUAGAUUAUUUUUAGAUAAGGCCUCCUUGUGUUGUACAGGCUGGUCUGAGCCUACAGGAAUUACAGAACA
rnacentral:lncRNA from 1 species